rnacentral:tRNA from 1 species
UUAAUUGAAACCAAAAAUUAGAGGUAUAUUAUUGUUAAUAAUAAAAUUGAAUUUUAAAAAUUCCAAUUAAA